UUUCGAACACCACAGUACGACCGCCGAUUCAGCCUUAGUCAUGUCAUCACGAUCCCGGAACGCGCGUUAAAAACUAUUUGAGAGCACGUUCAAAAUGAUUACCAACCCGAUGAAAAUCUAUAAACCUUUAAGAAAUUCAAAGGGACAAGCAAUUGGUGUAAUAUUAGUAUAAUACGUCUAUGUGGAUACAAAUAUUUUUUCAAUUCCGAACAUAAUGUGGCGUCAUAUCUCCAACGAAAAGAAAAUCUUCCAUAUCUAAAUUAUAUUUCAUUCAAAUCCAAAUUAAAAGGAAAAAAUAUGCAGCCCUAAAAUAAUA
rnacentral:lncRNA from 1 species